GGACACGUGGUUUCCGUGGUGAUCAGAAAGAAUUCGAGGACGAAUUCAUUUUAAGGGGGGGAGAAUGUAAUACCCCGUAUUGGUCUAAGCAUGAUUAUUCAUAUAAUUAUGAAGUGCUAAGAGGGAAAUAAUGGAUUAUGAUAAAUAAGAGAAGUUAGUUGGAAUAGAAAGAUGUUGGUUAGAAACCAACUAAUGGCAAGAUUGUAGUUAUGGCUUAGUUGGGGGACAAAUUGGACUUUGAACACAUCUUGCAUGAACUUAAGGCAUUGUUUGGUAGUAGCUUUUCCAAAAUCAGAAUUUAUGAGGGAGAGAGCUUAGAAGCAUAGAAAGAAAGGAGAACUCAAGUUCAUCAAUUUCCAUUUUCGCAACCCAUGAUACAGCUCCACUAAAUCAGCUUCUGUUUCGAAGGAGAAAACUGACCUUGAAGUUGUGUCAGUGAUGCUGAAAGUGGGUACAAGUGUGAUUACGGAUUUGAUGAAGAUGGAGUGAAACUUUGGCUAUGGUGGGAGUCCAAUGGCAGCAAACAUCAUCUUUCUAAACCUCCAUUUUAGCAAGGUGCAGUUAGUAGCGUUUGGUCAGUAACAGGUUUGGACUGAAGACUUGGAAGUGGUGUUGGCUCGAAGACCUCGUUGGUUUUGUCAUUCCGCUGUGCAAGAUCCAUUGAAGACUCAUGUAUUAUGCUUCUUAGUAGAAUUUCAUGUUGUAUUUUAUAUGGAUCUUUCUAUAACUAUAGCUUUUGUAUGUACUCAAUAUCAAUUUU